GACGAACGCUGGCGGCGUGCUUAACACAUGCAAGUCGAGCGGUAAGGCCCUUCGGGUACGACGAGCGGCGAACGGGUGAGUAACACGUGGGUGACCUGCCCCCUACUCUGGGAUAAGCCUGGGAAACGUGGGUCGUAAUACCGGAUAUGACUACAUGUCGCAUGGUGUGUGGUGGAAAGCCAGUUACAUUGUUUCUGGCGGGUGGGGGAGUGGGCCCGCGGCCUAUCAGCUUGUUGGUGGGGUGA
rnacentral:rRNA from 1 species